rnacentral:lncRNA from 1 species
CAUAAGAUCGGGAAUGAGAUGGGAAAGGCGGAGUGCGUGAAUCAGGAGCUCCCUGAACCUGAGGGAACAGUGGAAAAUAGGCUGCUAUCCAGAAUAGGCAAAGAUUUAGAGACUGCUCCCUAAUCUCGGUUCAAGUGCCUUACACGUGCCAGCAAAGACAUUUAAAGGGCAUUAUUCCCACCCCUGCACUGGGGUUGGAGGAAAGGCUAGGACUUUUGGGAAGUCCAGUCUCACCUUCCCAGAACUGCGGAUGUUGGGGACAGCAGCGGGACUGUCCCCCCCUUUAGGAGGCUUGAUCUAGCUCUGGGAUGCUUCUCCCACAGACUUCAGGUCAUCUGGGCCGGGAAGGUAGCACCUUCAGAAGAAAACAGGGUUUUAAUAGUUUUUGUAACUGUGAGAAAAGAAGCCUAUUUCCCUCUACCUGCACCUUUUCCUCUCUAGCACGAGGAAGAAAAAAACUGCAUUUGUUAGAAUUUCCUUCUGGCAGAGAAAUGUGAUCUUCAGAGAAAAAUCUUUAAUGAGUCCCUUUGGAGAAGGCGAGCUCUCAAAAGACCUGCCAGUAGGGUCUUGUGCCUCCUGACCUAAAGGGCUGCUGUGAGCCUGAGACCUUAAGGCUUGUAAAGCACUACAAUGCUUCCCUGGCCUGGGGGGAGUAUCGUAUCAUGAUGUUUUAUUAUUAUCUUUUCUGGGAUCUUGUUCUGGAUGAAUCUCACAACAAACACUUUUUUUUCUGCCACAGCUGCCUUCGCGCCUUGUUAAAACCGAGGACCACAUUUGCUGAUGUCCAGACUUUUCAGACCUUUUCUCUCUUUCUUUCCCUAGAAGACCCACCCGGCUUCUUGCAGGUAUUCCAUGCUCUUUUCGAGCAGGAAAAUAUGACGCCGGGGGGUGGGGGGAGGACGUGCAUAGCCAUUUACAAUCUCCUCGUCUGUUUUGGACUUUGCUCAGGUAAAACCAUCACUUUCAAGAACAGAGGAAUGCCAGCGGGAUGGGCGUGUGGCCGUUAUGAUGUCACCCAUCUUCAGAGACAAGACCUUGCCGAGCCGUCGCCCCCUGCUGGCCAUUAUGACAACCCGCGAUGACACCCCAGACCAGUCACGGGUGAAAGCCUGAAACCCACCAAGGAAAGGAGAUGUGUGAAAAUCAAUAUAGGAUGUGUGAAGGUACAAGUUAUGUGGAUACCAAAUAUAUGAGCACCACAACUUCUGUGAACAUGAAGGAAACUCCCCGAGACCUUACCCUGGGAUAUUGCAAAUUCAGCUUGGCCUGGAUCUGCCCAGCUUUCAUCUCACUAACGUUGUCACAAGUGCUUUCCCGUCUAGAUUCUCACAGCACACUGGACAGAGCUCUUUGACGGCUAUCUACACACAAAAGGACUUCACUAGCAGGCCUGAUUCCUGUCCUACAAAUGGCUUGGUCAGCAUUCUGAGAACUUAUGUUUAGGGAAGAUUCAUGUUAUCCUAACUGUCCUGGAUACAGAGUCUCUAAUGAGCUUUCUUGGUAGAGAACAUUUCACACGUACUAUCACAGAUUGUCACUGUGUGACUCCAUUGGGACAGGACUCCUGAAAACCUAGUUUCCUCCAGAUUCUGCUUCAUGGGCUUUUUUCUUUCUUUUCUUUUUUAUUUUUAUUUUUAUUUUUUUUUGUCUUUUGUCUCAUAACGGCUACACCCGCAGCAUAGGGAGGUUUCCAGGCUAGGGGUCUUACUGGAGCUGGAGCUGCCGGCCUACACCACAGCUACAGCAACUUGGGAUCUGAGCCAUGUCUGAGACCUACACCACAGCUCACCGCAACGCAGGAUCCUUAACCCACUGAGCAAGGCCAGGGAUCGAACCUGAAAGCUCCUGGUUCCUAGUUGGGUUCGUUUCUGCUGCGCCACGAUGGGAACUCCUUCCUGGGCCCUUUUCCUUCACUGAUUUGGCUUUGUAUCUUUUAGCUGUGAUAAUGAUAACCAGAAGUAUCUCCAUGUGCUGAUCCUGUGACAUCUCCUAGGCAACCGUCAACCCUAAGGAUGGCCUCAGGGACCCCAAACCAGUAACCUUGAGAAGCUGCCUUUUCUCUGAAUCAUUUCAGAGAUGAGUUCAUUUCACAGACAGUUCUGGUAGGACCGGUUCUAUAUUAUAUACCAAUUUUCAGGCCUGCAUAGAUUAAAUGAGUGGGGUAGUUAAGCGACCCAGGAUGGAAAAAUACUGUUGCCUUUUUAUCCAAGGGUUGUCAUGAACAUAGAUGUUACAGAAAAGUGGUUUUCAAACUAAUUUUUUUUUUUUUUUGUCUCUUUAGGGCCACACAUCUGCGGAAUUUCCCAGGCUCAGGGUCCAGUUGGAGCUGUAGCUGCCGGCCUACACCACAGCCACUGCAACGCAAGAUCUGAGCCACAUCUGCAACCCACACCACAGCUCAUGGCAAUACUGGAUCCUUAACCUAAUGAGCAAGGCCAGGGAUUGAACCCGCAUCCUCAUGGAUACUAGUCGGGUUCGUUACUGCUGACCCACAACAGGGACUCCGAACUAAUUUUUUUUUUCUCAUGGCCACGCCCGGGGUGUAUGAAGUCCCUGAGCCAGGGACUAAAUCCGAGCUGCAGCUGUGACUUAUGCCACAGCUGCAGCAAUGCUGGAUCCUUAACCCACUGCACUGGGCCAGGAAUCGAACCUGCGCCUCAGCAGCAACCUGGGACACUGCAGUCGGAUUCUUAACCCACUGUGCCACAGCAGGACUCCGGGAACCAAUCCCUUUUAACCAUCUAUUAUGAACACACUACUUAUUAUUUCAAUGAAUUUUUAGAAAACCGCUAGAGAACUUUCUCUCCAUUUUACAGACCAGGAAGCCAAGUCUUACCUUAUUGCAGAGUUGGGAUUGGCAUCUGCCCAGGACUUUUUCUGCUGUGGCACAUUUGCCUCCAUAGGUGUCAAUCUGUUAGGUUGUCUACUAUUUGAACCAAUAGCCCAGCUCACUAACCUCCUGUGCUGCGCUCUUUUCUCCUGGGGCUGCUGAAGUCCUUUUAUCUGAAUGAAGAGUGAGUGCAAAGCCCUACUUUGAAAAUACAGGCAGAUUAGCAGGGAGCCAUGUGGUCGUUCUGCUCAGAGAGGCACUGUUGAAAUCUGCAUGAGCAUGUAGCCAAAAAUACCCUCAGUGGUCCAGCAGUCCUUGCUAAACUGAGCACACAGGAAAUGCUCUUUAAUUAACACUGGCCGCAACUAUCUGAAAGAUACUGUGCUGUUUGUGACUGUUCCCUGGCUGGCCUGAUGUUCCUGAUAGCUGCCUGUCAGCCCGAGUUCCCUAAUUGUCUCCAGCUUUCUGUGUUUAUUCAAGUUGUGCUUCAGUGAAUCCGGAAAGCAUUUCCUCUUCCUUCCCAGCUUGUGACGCUCCCACUUCAGCUUGUCAUACAACAGCUGUCACGUUGUGCGUGUGAGCAGUCCGGCAGAAUGACAUCCCUCUGUAUCCUGACUUGGCCCCGGGACUGUGGGAGGACAUCCCUCCCCACGGAGGCCGGGGAUUGAAGAACCAAGGACGUUCGCGCCUGACUGUAAACGCGCAAAAUGCAUCGGCGAGGUGUGGUCCCAGCAGAUGAUACAGAUGUGAACUGCGGAGAUUCCUGCAUCCUUGGUUUUACCCAUCCCCUCCCCUGAGGCUUAAAGACAGCAGGGAGCUGGGGCAUGCUUCUCAACACUGGCUACAAAGUGUGGUGAGAAUAAGGGGAGUCAGCUCCAGGUAAAAGGGGGGGCACUAGGAGAUCAGCCCGCAUAGCGUGAGGAAUGGGGUUAUAGGCAAUAGAAGAAAGUUCACCCUCAGUGGCAAAAGGGGUGAAAUAAUGCAACAUGGAUGGACCUAGAGCUUAUAUUCCAAAGAAUAUACCUACAUCAGACGAAGACAAGUAUCACAUGAUCUCACUAAUAUGUGGAAUCUAAAAAAAUGAUACAAAUGAAGUUAUAUAUGAAACAGAGACUCACGGACUGAGAAAACAAAAGUAUGGUUACCAAAGGGGAAAGGGUGGGGGCAGGAUAAUUAGGAGAUUGGGGUGAGCAGACACACACUAUAAACAAAUUAGAUAACUAACAAAGCCCGAUUCUACAGCACAGAACUGCAUUCACUAUCUGGUGGUAGCAUCCCCACCUCUUUCCAAUAAUGGAAAAGAAUCGGCAGUUACGUAUAUCACAACCGAAUCACUUUGCUGUACACCUGAAAUGUAAAUCCACUAUAGUUCAAUUACAAAAUCACAGGAAAAAACACAUUCACUAAAUUUAAAAAAGACUUGAAGCAACAAAGUGGAUUCAGUUUGGGUUCAGACUGUGCUCAGGGAGGUCUGGAAAUAUUGCUAAAAGGAUUACAAAUUUAGUUACUACGUUACAGUUUAAACCUUACCCUUUAAGAAGUAUGCAUCAUCAAUUCCUAUUUACAAACGAGGGUGUAAGAAAUGUGUCCAUUUUAACGUCAUUAGCGCAUGGUAGGGCCAGGAUGCCAUGAAUCCGGCUUGAAGUGAAAGCCAGUUCCCGUCAACCACGCCGCCCUGGGAUCAAAACCAAGGCAGGAGAAUCAAGCAGGAAUGCCAAAUCUGAACUCCUCAUCUUCUUCCAGAAAGGAGCCCUCCUUUGUUCCUUCCCUGUCUUGGUUAACGGCGUCAUGAUUCAGGAGGUCGCCAAGUCUGAAACCCCAGACCUAUCUUGAGGUUUCAGGAAACCCCGGCUUCUCCCUCAGUCUUCAAAACUCAGCUCUCAGGUCUCCUCCCAUGCGGGUCUCCCGGCACCUCUUCCAGGGCCAGCUCUGCUCAAGGCCUGCCCCUCCCUUCGCCUCGCCCACGGCAGCUGGGCAUCUCCAGGGUGAGGGACUGCAUUCCCCAGAUCUUUAGAUGCCCAGUGCACCCUCAGUGCCUGUCGCAUAGUUGGUCCUUUUAAUGAAUAAUACAGAGGAUAAGUGACAGUCAGAAUAUCAAGGAAAAUAUGUUUCUUUUUAUCUGUAACUUCUUUCCCUUUAGUACUGACUGGUAAGAGAAUUUUUCACCCAGGAAAAGUUUAAUACCAUAGCAGGCAUUGUCUUGGAUGGAAGUUUUAUAAGAUGUGCAAGCGGGAGAGUUCCCUGGUGGCCUAGUAGUUAAGGAUGUGGCCUUGUCACUGCUGUGGCUCGGGUUUGAUCCCUGGCUAGGGGAUUUCCACAUGCUGUGGGCAUGCCUAAAAAACCCCAAAACAAACAUAGGAGAUGUGUUCAUUUGACUAAUGGACAAUAUGUUUAUGGUUUUAAUAAUCCCUAAUUAAGCUCUUCGAACACCAGAUGUUAGAGAACAUGGCUUCUCCAAAUUACUUCAUCAAACAUUCAGUGUAGAAGCUACUUUAGGCUUUUCAACAGGAUAAGAUUCAUACCGAAAGUCCUUUUGAUGUGGCAUUCAUCUGUCUUUCUAUUUAUCCCUCUCUCUUUCCAUCUACCUAAUAUAGACGUUGCAUAAAUGUCAUCCUGUCUCCUUUCCCUUUAAUUGCAUGUGGUUUAGCAGAAGUCAACCGGCAAGUCUGGGGCUAUGUGGCCUGAUGCGCUCCGCCUGUCUGAUCACCGUGCCACACUCGAGUCCCAUGUAACUGUUGUCAUUUGUUUCGCAAGCCUGGGAGAUACACAUGGUCAUAUCUCUAGCAUUUUUCCAAACAGACAUUUGAGAAGACCGUUUUUCUUAUUCUUAGGAAGUCCAGGAUCGCUCUUUUAAUGCUUCCUCUGCCCUUCUCAAUUGUCCAACAACCUUGAGGGUUUAAUUAACUUGGGGAGGAAGGCUGCGAUUUACCCUGCUUCCAAAUGCCAGCUGCAGAGAAAACUGGACAAGUGCUUCAGUCCGUAGCUGCCAUUGCUUUUGAUCACUGCAGCCAGCGACAGAUGGCUGGGGACUGGCUCUCUGUUGGUCCAAGGACUCACUGAAGCGCUCAGCUUAGAAUUCUAGGCGAAGGUUCCUUUCAGCCCACACCCGGAGCACAGCUGCUGGGCUGAGCUACAGCGCGCUUUCCGGCUUCCGUGAUCCCCAGGUUGGAACAGAUCCUCCCACACUCCUACGACCUUGCGUCAAAUGCGGGUCAUCAGGACUGACUUCUCUUGAACCAUGUGGAGCCUCUAAGGAUCUUUGCUGCCAGUGAGCCUGGGCAGAGCCUACCUGGCCCCUGGUUUCUCUAACUUACACUCGUCGGUAACCAGGAGUUCAGCCUUCCUCCCUCCUGCUCCCAAGUCCUUGGGCUCGAUAUGCACAUAAAUCCUACCUUGUCCUCAGAAAUUGAUCCUGCUUUUCAGGAUAUUUUGAGAAGGCGCUCGCCUUGUUCCCGUCUUCUUCCAGAGAAAUACUGGGUUUUUCACUGAGGUCAACUGCGGUGCUAGAAGGAAAAAAACUUAUUUUACAGGUUAUAAAAGUUGUUUUAGUUAUGUAUAGAAAUAGAUCUUUAAAAAUCAUUCUCUCUCUCUUAUUAUCUGUCAAUUCUUACCAAUCACCUGAGAUGCCUCCUUAGUGCAGGAGGUAGUGUGUCAGUCUCACAUCACCAAUUACGGGUCUGUAUCAUCUACUCUUACAAGGACUUCCUUCUCCAUGACUCAAGGGGGAAAAAUCACUAGAUGCGUCUGUUAGCACUGCUGCUCUUUGGCACAGAUUUUAUCCCUAGCAUCACUGGCCACGGAAGUCAUGGUACCAAGGCCUGAGGAUAGAUUGAACCAUGCACUUCGAAUUUCUAGAGAAGCCUAUGGAACUGACUAAACGACAGGUCUACUGUUGAUGCGUUGAGCAUCCAUGAGAAGAACGUGUUUGAUAAGCAAGAGCUGUACUUUUCUUCAGCUGGUUACAAUGUGUCCCAGCGCUGUGAUGACUGUAACAUUUGACUGUAUUCUUCUUGGCCUGAAAAUUCAGAACUAAGUGGACAGGACUCUGUGGUACACAUUUAUUUGUUCUAAUGCUCCCUUUAAUUUAUCAAAAAUUGUUUACCUAUGUGGAGUUCCGGUCAUGGCUCAGCGGUAACGAACCUAACUAGUAUCCGUGUUCCAUCCCUGGCCACGCUCAGUGGGUUAAAGGAUCCGGCGUUGCCAUGAGCUCUGGCGCAGGCUGGCAGCUGUAGCUCCGAUGAGACCCCUAGCCUGAGAACAUCCAUAUGCCAUGGGUGCGGCC